CUCCCGCAAGGGAGUGACUGAGUGGCGAACGGGUGAGUAACACGUGGGUGACCUACCUUCGAGUGGGGGAUAACGUCCCGAAAGGGACGCUAAUACCGCAUAACAUCCUUCCUUUGAACAGGAGGAGAUCAAAGCCGGGGAUCGUAAGACCUGGCGCUUGAUGAGGGGCCCGCGUCCGAUUAGCUAGUUGGUGAGGUAACGGCUCACCAAGGCGACGAUCGGUAGCCGGCCUGAGAGGGCGGACGGCCACACUGGGACUGAGACGCGGCCCAGACUCCUACGGGAGGCAGCAGUGGGGAAUUGUUCGCAAUGGGCGCAAGCCUGACGACGCAACGCUGCGUGGAGGAUGAAGGUCUUCGGA
rnacentral:rRNA from 1 species